rnacentral:tRNA from 1 species
GGGGCUGUAGCUCAGUGGUAGAGUGCUUGCCUAGCAAGCAUGAGGCAAUGGGCUUGAUCCUUAGCACCA